rnacentral:pre_miRNA from 1 species
AGUGGGAUAGCUGGGUCAAAUGGUGGGUCCAUUCCAAGUUUUCUGAGGAAUCUCCAUACUGCUUUCCAGAGUGGUUGCACCAAUUUGCAGUCCUACCAGCAAU